rnacentral:rRNA from 1 species
GAUGAACGCUGGCGGCGUGCCUAAUACAUGCAAGUCGAGCGAACGGACGAGAAGCUUGCUUUUCUUAUGUUAGCGGCGGACGGGUGAGUAACACGUGGAUAACCUACCUAUAAGACUGGGAUAACUUCGGGAAACCGGAGCUAAUACCGGAUAAUAUUUUGAACCGCAUGGUUCAAAAGUGAAAGACGGUCUUGCUGUCACUUAUAGAUGGCUCCGAGCUGCCUUAGCUAGUUGGUAAGGUAACGGCUUACCAAGGCAACGAUGCAUAGCCGACCUGAGAGAGUGAUAGGCCACCCUGGAACGGAGACACGGUCCAGGCGACUAAGGGAGGCAGCAGUAGGGAAUCUUCCGCAAUGGGCGAAAGCAUGACGGAGCAACGCCGAGUGAGUGAUGAAGGUCUUCGGAUCGUAAAACUCUGUUAUUAGGGAAGAACAUAUGUGUAAGUAACUGUGCACAUCUUGACGGUACCUAAUCAGAAAGCCACGGCUAACUACGUG